AAAUUUACCGAUAACCUCAACAGGGGCCCUGUAAAAAUAUGAGCUUUUUUCAAGACAUCUUCAUCCCCCCCCCCCUCGGUGUAAUAAAUGUACUUUCCCUUACUAUGAAAUGUAUUGUAAUUUUUGUUUUUGGGACGCGAGUCCCAAAAACAAUCUUUUAAUCAGUAAUUUCACGAUUUUCGAAAGCUUAGUAUUCGAUUGGUAUUCAUGUAAACGUCUUCAAACUUUGUAUACUUACUAAUUUUGAGGUGGUCUUUUUAGUUAUUUGGUCCAUUUCUUAAUUUGGGCACUUUUUAACACUCGUCCCCAGUCCUCUCAUCAACUUCGGAAUGGCUAAUUACGGUGGUCCUUAAUUGUGGUCCCUUUGAUUGAAUCUCAUACAGAUCGAAACUUUACCUAUUAUUUGAUCAUUGGUAUCCAGUUUCAUAUACAUCAACAUAUAUUUUCACUCAAAUAAGUAAGCUCGAAGUCUCUCUGAUCCAGCGGUGCCUAAAUUACUUUGAAUUUAUACUUGAGUAAAAGUAGAAGUAAUUAAGAAUAAAACGACUUGAGUAAGAGUAAAAAGUACUGGAGGCAAAACGUACUUAAGUAAAAAGUACAAAGUAUCCUUAAAAAAUACUUGAAGGUACAAAGUAAAAGUACUAUUGUCUGUAGAGUGUAGGGGGGGGGGACUUCUCCAUUCAUGGAUUGAGAUACAAAACAGCACACGCAUUAUAAAUGUACAAUAUUUCACGGCAUGGUCUACUUUCCAGACCCCGCUGAAGAUAUAAGAAAUCCAUUAAAUAAAUAAUGCUUAUAAGUAAGCCACAAACGAGAUAUCCCAAACGCAUGUAGAGGUCCUAUUACCUAUCCCAAAAGUAAAAUAAAUUGGGAAUAAAUUACGUAAAAUUAAACAAAAGUUAGAAAGUCACGAAAUACUUCGCCACAAAAUGAAAAUAACGAAGUAAAACGUUACUUCUUAAAACGACUUCUUUCCAAGUAAAAGUACUGCAGAAAAAGUUUACUUUGUUACAUGCUCACUUCUCAAAAAUAGUACUCAAGUACAGUAACGAAGUACAUUUACUUCGUUACUUGACACCACUGCUCUGAUCUCAGUUCAAUCAGUUUUGGGAGUGUCAGUGUAACGCAAUAUUUUCAAUACAUGAUGACGUAAAUAACCUCAGCCUACGUAAACGGGAUCCACAGGAAUCCUUACUGGACUAUUGAUUGUCAAAAUAGAUUUAGUUCUGCCUUUUAUUUCAACUUCACUGACAAUUACAUUUCAAAAGUAACAUUACGUUUCUUUAAAUAUGUAGCGCGGUUUAUAAUAGGGCCCCAUCUAUACGACUACGUGAUCACUAAAUUCCAAAAGGGGCUGUCCAGUCCGGCUGGCUUGGAUUAAUCGUGUCACGGUUAACUGGGCCAGUCGGCCUCCAUAUGAACAGCCCUUAAUUUAAGUCAGAGAAAAGUGUUAUGUUUAGUAAUAGUAAAACUUUAGAAAUUUCUUAAACAUCUGUCAGAUUAUGUGGCCUGUAUUUAUAGUACUGACGAAGUUUAGAAUUUGCCGAAGAAUUAAAAGCACUUAGACAAAUAUAAAUUUUGAAUAGAAAUGCGAUAUCUCUGACUGAUUAUCGAACACUAUAAAAAAUAGUUUUAUACGUAAAAGGAAUGAUUUGAAUCACUUAGACAUAAUAUUUAAUCAAUGUAAUAAUAUUUAAUCAAUAAUUAUAUACACAUGAUAAAAUUGCCCAAAACUGUGCGACAUUUCAUCAAGAACUCAAGAC